CACUGAAUCACUUGCCGUUGCGGCAACGGGAGCUGUAGUGUUUGGGACGGCCUCUGCGCGGUGCACGGCGAUUCGAAGUUCGCUUGAAGGCGGCUUACUGGGCCUCUUUCGAGGCCUUGCCAGAGAGGGUGUCAGACCCGUGUGGAACGUCGUGCUCGUUGCGCUUUGGUCUCGUCUCCAGAGUCGGGUUGUUUGGGAAUGCAGCCCAAAUGGGGUGGUAAACUCCAUCCAAGGCUAAAUAUGCUCGCGAGUCCGAUAGCGGACCAAGUACCGCGAGGGAAAGUUGAAAAGAACUUUGAAGAGAGAGUUCAAGAGUACGUGAAACCGCUGAGAGGCAAACGGAUGGGAUCGCAAUUGCUCCCGGUGAGAUUCAGCUUUCGUUCGGUGGGUUCAAGUCUGGCCGUCGUCUUCUCGGUGAAGAAGCCUCUUGCGGGGUGGAUCGCGAGUGGACGCGGUCGGAUUGGCCGAUCGAUUUUGAGAGUGCACUUCUCCCGGGGGAACGUCACGAUCGGUUCUCGGCCUGUUGUGAACCGACUGGCAAGGUCUUCUGGCAUGCACCCUCAGGUGGAGGGGCCCAGAAACUAACAUGGCACGGUCGCUCGUUCGACCAGGCUGAUGGACUGAGGUGACCGAGCGGUGUGCAUGAUGUCCGCCCCAGUGGUCGAGUGCGUUGCCGUCGUGUAUCGUCGUGGACUGUUCGCAGUGCCCGGCGACCGCGGCUCGUGCGAGUGGCUGCUGGGAGGCUUAGCACGUGAUGCUCACGAAUGGUGGUCAGUGGCUGUUUGGCAGACAACCCAUCCGACCCGUCUUGAAACACGGACCAAGGAGUCUAACAUGUGCGCGAGUCAUUGUACUCGACUAGAUACACAGGCGCAAUGAAGGUGAACGCAGGUCUGACUCGAGGGGGAGUUCUUCUCUUCGUGGCAAGACCGGCCCGUCCCAUAUCGCGUGCGUCGAUGUGGAUGGAGCAAGAGCGCAAAUGUUGGUACCCGAAAGAUGGUGAACUAUGCCCG
rnacentral:rRNA from 1 species